rnacentral:misc_RNA from 1 species
CAAGAAGCAAGAAAACGUGGGGGAUUUAAAGAGUAAAGCACAAAACUAUGGGUCGAAAGGCAACCAAUCCACGCCUAUACAGAUUGAGGACUCAGAUUGUGCUGUAGAGAUUGAGUGUCCUGGCAGGGAUAUCCAUUCAGGGAGAGAUACCAAGAAGCAAGAAAAUGAAGUGGAUUUAAAGAGUAAAGCACUAAAUAAUGGGUCCACAAGCAACCAAUCCGCACCCAUACAGAUUGAGGAUUCAGAUUGCUCCAUUCAAGAAUUCAGAGGAAAGUCCAACGAAUCGAGGAGUGAAAAUAGUGUUGGUAAGCAAGCUGGAAGGCCUUCAAGUUCAAAUGUUUCUACAGCUCUUGAAGCUGCCAACAAAUUUACCUCAAGCUAUCCAUAUCUCAAGGUCAUUAUGGAUGCAUAUUGUAAAGGGCCUCUCUAUUUGAGAAUACCUAUUACCUUUAUCCGGGAGCAUAUGAAAUGUGAAACUCAUACUGUGGGGCUUAAGGUAAUAGGUAUUCUCAAAAACAUGGCUUGUGAAUUUGUAUGUUAGUAAAAGAUCAGGUCAACUUUGUGGUGGUUGGCCUGUGUUUGUGAGGGAAAAUUGUCUGAAGAAAGGAGACAUAUGCAUCUUUGAGCUGGUUGGAAGGAGAAUGAUGAAUGUGCACAUUUUCAGGCGGCCUUGUGGUGCUUAACUGGUUGCUGCUAUUGCCCCUUUGCUAUCAGAAGUCUCUUUCUUUUCAUCCUCAAUGUAUGAGAAAAUGUAACUUUCAGUUUUAAAUUGGUCGGGGAAAUGGCCUAUUUUUGGGACUCCAUCAUGAGUCAUUAGCACUUGGCAUAACCUUUUUGAGUUUUCU